GGUACAGGGUCACGAAUCUCUG
rnacentral:siRNA from 1 species